GACGAACGCUGGCGGCGUGCCUAAUACAUGCAAGUCGAACGCAGUGGGGACGGGUGAGUAACACGUGGGUAACCUCCCAUCAGAGGGGAUAACACUUGGAAACAGGUGCUAAACCGAUACUGAUGGAUGGACCCGCGGUGCAUUAGCUAGUUGGUGAGGUAACGGCUCACCAGGGCCACGAUGCCUAGCCCACCUGAGAUGGUUAUCGUCCACACUGGGACGUAGCCCCGGCCCAGACUCCUACGUGAUGCAGCAGUAGGGAAUCUUCGGCAAUGGACUGAAGUCUAACCGAGCAACGCUGCGUGAGUGAAGAAGGUUUUCCGAUCUUAAAACUCAAUUGUUAGAGAAGCGGUAUCUAACCAGAAAACCACGGCUAACUACUUGCCAGCAGCCGCGGUAAUUC
rnacentral:rRNA from 1 species